UGUUAAAAAUUUCAUCCAUUUGUAGUAUUAAAAAUUGGAGUGGUUGAAGGAAUAACCAUAUUUGAGACAUGACGUGCCAUGAAUACCUCAUGUUGACGUAUAGAAACUAAUUUUUAACAAUAAAAAUAGAUGAAAAAAUUAACA
rfam:Gossypium arboreum cultivar AKA8401 contig_4855_3, whole genome shotgun sequence.